rnacentral:lncRNA from 1 species
UUAAUACUAGAAUUAUUAUAUAUAUAUCAAAAUCGAAAAUCCGAAACUAAACUCGAAUUCAAAAUUAAUUUAAACAAAAGAACAAUUUAAUUCGAAACGAUCAAGGUAAGAAAUCCAAAAUGGCCUAAUUAAGAAAAUGUCAAUUGGUAAUCACAAAUGACUUGAAUUCAAAACAAACUAAACCAUAAAUGAUUAAUUUUUUUGUUGAGCGGGAAAUUUUUGAAGUGAUGUCUGCCAGGAAGUCAACCUGAUCCCUUAACAACUGAAAGUAUUGUCCUUCCAACAAGGUUGUCUCCCAUGCUCUGCUGAGAGAUAGUGUGCCGUGAGCGGCUGCUUAGAGGAUUUGGUUCACAGAGCCGACUGCCUCGACCAUACAUGGGUGUAUUGCCACACACCAAGGGGACGUGAGCGUCUCGCCCUAGGUGAGAUUCAAACCCCUAACCUAUAACAUAUAGGUUGCUUGUUGGUGAAGAUGGUACCACUUGGAUACUUAGAAAACUUCUCCUGAAAGAAUCGACCAAUUGUCAACAAUUUUAAAACUUGAAUUGACUUUACGAGAUUGACUUAGUAAUCACCCAACUAUAAUAAAUUUAUUUUUUUAUCACCUAAUUAUAAAAAGUUAUAGACUCAUCACUCAACUAUGAAAAGUUAUGAACCUAAUAAAUUUACUCUUUUUUUUCAUGGUUGUUGAUUUAUGAUACAGUAAUUUUUGAACUGCAGAACAAAAAUUGGGUGAUGGGAAAUUGGUUAGUUUCUAGGGAGGAUACAAAAUUUUCCAGGAAAAUUUUGAUGUCACAUUCCAUCAUGUAUCCUAUAACAAGGACGUAGAAGAUGUGGCCUGAAUGUGACCGCUCAUCUUUCAGAUAUGAACCAGCUGCGAUAAGGGUUAGGAGGAGGGUUUCGUAAAAGAAUCAAAAUCAUAAAAUAACGAUAAAAUAUUUCGACCUAUUCGGGGUCGUUGGAUUACAACUUGUUGAUUCUGGUUCGGGUCUCUUUCAAAAUUCCCUCAAUUGCACCCAUUUCAACAUGUGGAAUGGAAGGAAAAGAAGGUACUCAUUCCAAAUGCAAAAUGGUGAUUGGAAAAAUCGUAUUCUUUUCAUCUUGAAAGAUUUUAUGGAAGUAUAUCAUUUAUAUAACCUAAGAAUUAGGAGAUAAAUAACAUCAAACAAUUUGAAUUUUGUUUUGAUUAGUGAAUUUUAAUCCAAAAUGAUAUUGAAAUUUAUAAAAAUAAGAGUAAACUAUACCUAAAGUAACUAAAUUAUUAGUAAGUUUACGUUUUGAUCACUCAACUUUAAAAUGUUACAAAAAUAGUUAUUAAAGUAUUUGAAAGUUUUUAUUCAUUUAAAUCACUGGACUGUUAAUGUUUUUUUUUAUAGAAAAAAUUAGGUCAGCGAGCUCCAAACAACGAUUUGAUGAUUGAUACAAUAGAUCAAUACCCAUCAACGAGCAAAAAAACAUACUUUAAAUCCAAGUCAAUUUGACGGUCGAAAAUCGAAAAAGAAAAUAGUUUGGAUCAUUAUUUGCAGAUUCGUUACGUUUAAAAUUUUUUUAUGAAAAAAAUUUUAAAUUAUAGAUGAGAAGAGAAAAAAGAGUUUUCGAUUGACGCAAAAUAUGCAAAUAAAGGGGUAAUUUACCAAUAAAAGCCAUUUUUUUCAAAAAUUACCGAAAUGAGCCCAUUAUUUAAUUAUUUACCGGAAUGGUCCAUUUUCCGCGAAAUCGCGUCCACGUCAGCGCGAUGGCAGGGUAUGCGCCAAGAAAUCGUGUCCACGUCAACGCGAGUUGCUGACGUGGAAGCAAAUCACUCCCUCUAGGAUGCGAUUUGCUGACGUGGGAUGAACAACAGUUUAUGUUUUUUAGCUUGAAAAACUUUGAAAGGCCAUAACUUUUCGCUCGGUUGUCCGAUUAACGAUUUUUUUAUUUCGAAUAACUUUUCUGAUUUGACAUGUGUAUGGAAUAGGUCCGAUAAAUCAUUAGAACGUAAGUAAUAUAAUUAAGAUAAUAACAAUAUUUUUAUAAUAUAUCAAUUAAUUAGUUUAACUUAGUUGGUCAAGAUGCUUGCUCUUUUCCCUUAGUACCUUGGUUCAAAUCUUGUUGGUAAUAAUUUUGAAUCUUUUUUGUACUUGUUACAUUUAUUUUUUAAUCAAUUAACUGGGCCCAUUUCGGUAAAUUUUAAAAAAAUAAGGUUUUUUUUUGGUAUUUUACCCAGUUAAUUGAUUAAAAAAAUAAAUGCAACAAGUACAAAAAAGAUUCAAAUAAAUGCAACAAUUCUGUAAAAAAAAUCCGGUGUUUACUUCAAAUAAAUAAGAAAAAUAAAGAUUUGAAUGUUUCAAAAUUCAAUUUUAAAUCGAAAAAUUAAAAUUUAGAGGUAAAAAAGAAUCUUUUCCGACGAAAACUGCGGCAAACCGCCUUCGGCUAUUUGUCAGCGAGUAGAUCUCGAAAAGUUAUUCGAAAUCAAAAAAAAAUCGUCUCAAUCAGACAACCGAGCGAAAAGUUAUGGCCUUUCAAAAUUUUCCAAGCUAAAAAACAUAAACUGUUCAUCCCACGUCAGCAAAUCGCAUCCUAGAGGGAGCGAUUUGCUUCAUCGUCAGCAACUCGUGCUGACGUGGACGCGAUUUCCUGGCGCGUACCCUGACAUCGCGCUGACGUAGACGCGAUUUCGUAGAAAAUGGACCAUUCCGGUAAAUAAUGGGCCAGUUUUGAUAAUUUAAAAAAAAAAGAACUUUUAUUGGUAAAUUGCCCCAAAUAAAGAAGACCAAACAACAACAAUUUUAACAAUCUAAUAACUUAAAUGAAAACUUUUGAAAAAUUUAACGAUAAUGUUAUAACUUUUUAAAGUUAAGUAAUCAAAACAUAAACUUACUAAUAAUUAAAAAAAAACUGACAAUAGAAGUAAAAUCUUGACAAAUGAAUUCAGAAAACAAGCAUGCAUGUAAAAUCAAAAAAUUAUCACAUGUCUCAUUUAUUUAAUUUUAAUUUUUAAAAUAUUAAUUAAACACACAUGAAGAUUUUUUAACUUGUUGAAUUGAAAAAAAUCAACAACCAAAGAAUCAUAUAAUUAUUUAUUAACCAAAUUAAAAAUGAUUUGGCCAAGAAAAAGAACAAAUUAAAAAUGAGUCAACACAUGUAUGUCAUCAAUUAUUCAUUUAUACUCUGCUUUAUAGAGUUAAAAACUCCACGUAAUAAUCUAAAAUAAAAAAAAAGGUCGUUUUAUAAAAUCUAAUAUAGAAAAUAUUGUUGAAAAAUGUUCCAAAAAAUGUGGGAUUUUGGAAUGUAGGACAAAAACAAGUAGAUCAGUGACAAUUCCGGAUUUCUAUAUUCGGUAGUAAAAAUUAAAAGGAAUAAAGAAUAUAUAUCCGAUGAAUAUCAUGAAGACCUUUGUAUUAAGAGUUAUAUUGCAUUUUAUUUUUUUAUUGAAAAAAUUAACAAUUUAAUCCCUAUCUAUUAGAUUAAAGAGCAAACUAGUAUUGUUAAAAUUGAUCUAUGUAAGCCAGAAUGAAAUACAUGUGAUAUAUCACGUGUAUUUAGUUAUUCUGUAAGCUAUGCUAGUUUUUAACCAUAGAAUGAUCUAUGUCCGGUUUGCUAUUUGAUCUAACGUAUAUGGAUUAAUUUACUUAUUUUAUGAGUAAAGAGGACAAAAUGUAAUUUAACUCCUAGUACAGAAACUUUCAUGGUACUUUUACCGAAAUAGAAAAGUUAUCCCUCAAAAAAAGGCACUUGAUAGAAGGGUUUUACCGUAUAUUCUCCUGGUUCAAUAAAUGUUAGUCUCGAGUCCAAUGUAACUCGGGAUAAACCUGGAGUUUACACCUAAAAAAAGGGAAAGAUCAGCAAUAUUUUUUAACCAUAAUCCAUGCAGAAUCUCCAAAGGUUUGCCUAAACUGACAAUGACUUUCGAUGGCUAAGUUAAAAAGAAUACAAAAAGCACAACGAAUCACCUUUAUGAUGCCAAAUAAAUACUGCCGGCUUGAGUAUUUUCACUCCAAUAAUGUAAAAUACAUCAUAACCCUUCCAUUAAUCUUCCCAGGUUUGCAAUUGCAUACCACCAUGUGUGUCUUUGUUCUCCUAUAAAGCCUCUCGU